UACGUAGUUUGAUCAUGGCUCAGAACGAACGCUGGCGGCAUGCCUAAUACAUGCAAGUCGAACGAGAUCUUCGGAUCUAGUGGCGCACGGGUGCGUAACGCGUGGGAAUCUACCUUGGGUUCGGAAUAACAGUUAGAAAUGACUGCUAAUACCGGAUGAUGACGUAAGUCCAAAGAUUUAUCGCCCAAGGAUGAGCCCGCGUAAGAUUAGCUAGUUGGUGAGGUAAAGGCUCACCAAGGCUACGAUCUUUAGCUGGUCUGAGAGGAUGAUCAGCCACACUGGGACUGAGACACGGCCCAGACUCCUACGGGAGGCAGCAGUAGGGAAUAUUGGACAAUGGGCGAAAGCCUGAUCCAGCAAUGCCGCGUGAGUGAUGAAGGCCUUAGGGUUGUAAAGCUCUUUUACCCGAGAUGAUAAUGACAGUAUCGGGAGAAUAAGCUCCGGCUAACUCCGUG
rnacentral:rRNA from 1 species